rnacentral:rRNA from 1 species
GCUCAGAUUGAACGCACUGGCGGCAGGCCUAACACAUGCAAGUCGAGCGGUAGAGAGAAGCUUGCUUCUCUUGAGAGCGGCGGACGGGUGAGUAAUGCCUAGGAAUCUGCCUGGUAGUGGGGGAUAACGUUCGGAAACGGACGCUAAUACCGCAUACGUCUACGGGAGAAAGCAGGGGACCUUCGGGCCUUGCGCUAUCAGAUGAGCCUAGGUCGGAUUAGCUAGUUGGUGAGGUAAUGGCUCACCAAGGCGACGAUCCGUAACUGGUCUGAGAGGAUGAUCAGUCACACUGGAACUGAGACACGGUCCAGACUCCUACGGGAGGCAGCAGUGGGGAAUAUUGGACAAUGGGCGAAAGCCUGAUCCAGCCAUGCCGCGUGUGUGAAGAAGGUCUUCGGAUUGUAAAGCACUUUAAGUUGGGAGGAAGGGCAGUUACCUAAUACGUGAUUGUUUUGACGUUACCGACAGAAUAAGCACCGGCUAACUCUGUGCCAGCAGCCGCGCUAAUACAGAGGGUGCAAGCGUUAAUCGGAAUUACUGGGCGUAAAGCGCGCGUAGGUGGUUAGUUAAGUUGGAUGUGAAAUCCCCGGGCUCAACCUGGGAACUGCAUUCAAAACUGACUGACUAGAGUAUGGUAGAGGGUGGUGGAAUUUCCUGUGUAGCGGUGAAAUGCGUAGAUAUAGGAAGGAACACCAGUGGCGAAGGCGACCACCUGGACUGAUACUGACACUGAGGUGCGAAAGCGUGGGGAGCAAACGGGAUUAGAUACCCUGGUAGUCCACGCCGUAAACGAUGUCAACUAGCCGUUGGGAGCCUUGAGCUCUUAGUGGCGCACGUAACGCAUUAAGUUGACCGCCUGGGGAGUACGGCCGCAAGGUUAAAACUCAAAUGAAUUGACGGGGGCCCGCACAAGCGGUGGAGCAUGUGGUUUAAUUCGAAGCAACGCGCACACCCUUACCAGCCUUGACAUCCAAUGAACUUUCUAGAUAUAGAUUGGUGCUUUCGGUAACAUUGAGACAGGUUGCUGCAUGGCUGUCGUCAGCUCGUGUUGUGAAAUG